rnacentral:lncRNA from 1 species
UGCUCCAGCGAACAUGGUACAUGUUACGAUUUGAAAGGAGAGAGACACAAAUCAAGAUGAGAGUGUGUCGGCUACUUUGAUGAAGAUGUGAAACAAGGAAGAGUUUUUCAUUAUAAGUGGGAAAUUAGCAAAGCUCUAGCACACUUAAACAAAAACAUUCCUGACCCAAAGAAAUGUCUAAUUUUGAUGGUCCACAUGUGAUAGAGAUGAAGUUAUCCAAGCACUCAACAUGUUGAUCAAUGAGAUUUUGGCAAAAGAGAUGUAAGGACCCCAU